rnacentral:lncRNA from 1 species
UCUCUAUUUUCUCUCUCUAAAUUUUUUUCUCUAAAAUUUUCUCUUUCUUCAUAGAUUUUCUCUCUCUAAAAGUCUUGUGGAUCAAUAGAGGGUCCAGAUACUUAGAUAAAUUCUAAUUUUGGUUAAUCCUAGGAGAGAUCCUGAAUUUAUGUUAUUAGGAUCGUUUAUCCAUAAUUUCUCCAUAUAUGAUUUUUAUAUUUGAUCAGGGUCAUGAAGAGAUACAAU